UACGGGGGGGGCGAGCGUUGUUCGGAAUUACUGGGCGUAAAGGGUUUGUAGGUGGUCUGCUAAGUCAGACGUGAAAUCCCUCAGCUUAACUGGGGAACUGCGUCUGAUACUGGCGGACUUGAGGACAGGAGAGGAACGCGGAAUUCCAGGUGUAGCGGUGAAAUGCGUAGAUAUCGGAAGGAACACCAGUGGCGAAAGCGGCUUCCUGGUCCAGCACCGACGUUCAGGCACGAAAGCGUGGGGAGCAAACAGG
rnacentral:rRNA from 1 species